rnacentral:rRNA from 1 species
GGNUUGCUGCUGGCCCUUUGGGGCAUGUGCACACCCGACACCAACUUUUCUUACCACCUGUGAACUUUUUGUGGACUUGGAAUACCUUUCCGAGGCAACUCGGUUUUGAGGAUUGCUGUGCAUAAGCCAGCUUUCCUUAUACUUUCCUGUCUAUGUUUUUAAUAUCCUCCUAAUUGCAUGUUUUUUAUAUAUAAAAAUAGGGCUUGAUUGCCUUUUAAACUUAUACAACUUUCAACAACGGAUCUCUUGGCUCUCGCAUCGAUGAAGAACGCAGCGAAAUGCGAUAAGUAAUGUGAAUUGCAGAAUUCAGUGAAUCAUCGAAUCUUUGAACGCACCUUGCGCUCCUUGGUAUUCCGAGGAGCAUGCUUGUUUGAGUGUCAUGAAAUUCUCAAGCUUGUAAGCUUUUACUAGCUGAUCAGGCUUGGAUGUGGGAGUUUGCGGGCUUCUCGAGAAAGUUGGCUCUCCUUAAAUUCAUUAGCGGGACCUUUUUGGUUGCUCCGGCCUUUGGUGUGAUAAUUGUUUACGCUAUUGUUGGAGUGAUUUGGGUGCAGCUUCUAAUUGUCUUUGAGACAAUCUACAUGACAAUUUGACCUCAAAUCAAGUAGGACUACCCGCUGAACUUAAGCAUA